rnacentral:rRNA from 1 species
AUUGAACGCUAGCGGGAUGCUUUACACAUGCAAGUCGAACGGCAGCGCGGACUUCGGUCUGGCGGCGAGUGGCGAACGGGUGAGUAAUGUAUCGGAACGUGCCCAGUAGCGGGGGAUAACUACGCGAAAGCGUAGCUAAUACCGCAUACGCCCUACGGGGGAAAGCAGGGGAUCGUAAGACCUUGCACUAUUGGAGCGGCCGAUAUCGGAUUAGCUAGUUGGUGAGGUAACGGCUCACCAAGGUGACGAUCCGUAGCUGGUUUGAGAGGACGACCAGCCACACUGGGACUGAGACACGGCCCAGACUCCUACGGGAGGCAGCAGUGGGGAAUUUUGGACAAUGGGGGCAACCCUGAUCCAGCCAUCCCGCGUGUGCGAUGAAGGCCUUCGGGUUGUAAAGCACUUUUGGCAGGAAAGAAACGUCGCGGGCUAAUACCCCGUGGAACUGACGGUACCUGCAGAAUAAGCACCGGCUAACUACGUG